GCUGAUCCGCAGCAGCGUAGAUUCGCAGGACGAAGAGCGCAGCCGACUCACCCGGACUGACCGACCAUGCAGUGUGGCGUCUUCAUCUUCAUCGGCGGCUUCUUGCUGCUGUCUCUGCAGCUUGUCUCGGUGGACACCGUGCCAAUAAAUACCUGCGACCUACCAAGGCUUGUCGGACUCUGCAAAGCCGUGAUGCUGCGCUUCUACUACAACAAAGCCACCGGGGUAUGUGAACAGUUUAGAUAUGGUGGCUGCAAAGGCAAUGCAAACAACUUUCUUACAUUAAAAAAAUGCAAUGCUGUUUGUGGAAAUUGAUAAAAUGACAGCAGACCAUGUUUUUGGAAAUCUGUGACAGAGAAGGGACAAAGAGGACAACAUCAGACUUAAAGAAUGAACGUCUGAGCACUCUUCAAAAGGAGAAGCUUUCUUAAGUUUCAAAAUUAUUGAUUUAAAUUGCUAUUGUUGAAAUUAUUAGGACAAUAAAUGACGAUAUUUAGU